UAACCGCCAACGGAGGGCGAGGCGCCGAGGGUGGGGAUUGGUAACUGGUAGGCG
rnacentral:rRNA from 1 species